rnacentral:rRNA from 1 species
UACGUAGGGUGCAGGCGUUAAUCGGAAUUACUGGGCGUAAAGCGUGCGCAGGCGGUCUUUUAAGUCAGAUGUGAAAUCCCCGGGCUUAACCUGGGAACUGCGUUUGAAACUGGAAGGCUAGAGUGUGGCAGAGGGGGGUGGAAUUCCACGUGUAGCAGUGAAAUGCGUAGAGAUGCGGAGGAACACCGAUGGCGAAGGCAGCCCCCUGGGCCAACACUGACGCUCAGGCACGAAAGCGUGGGGAGCAAACAGG